rnacentral:lncRNA from 1 species
GUUUAAAUAGAAAAACAUGAAUUUAAUGAAUAAAGCAUAGAACCUUCACCGUAGGCCCUGUGUUUCUUAAGAUUUAGAAAGCUAAUAUAUAUGAAUACAGCCAUAUAACCCUCUGUUCAAAAAAAAAAAAAAGUGAAAUAACAACAAUGUAACCUCAUCCCCUGUAUUUCCUCAUUUCCUUAGGGCCACGGUUUCAAAAGGUCUUAAAAAACAUAGCAACAAUGCAUUCCAACACUUCCCUCUGAUUAUGAGAAAGCACCCUGCCCUCCAAGCCUAGGCUCCAGCUCAACAGUGCAACUAAAACCCCAGGUGUGAUACAAGAGUCCUGAGUUAUGCCAGAGGCUGCAAUCAGCACACUCAUAUAAUUAAGGUUAAGAAUAAACUUGAAAGAAGUGCUGAAUAUACGUCUUUGUUGCCUGCUACUGACGUACGUGGAACUGAGAAUCACUUUUCAGGAUUCCCAGCAAUUAUUUGAGGAAUGGCUACAUUCUCAGUAAUCCUUCUACAGUGACAGAAGAUGAUCAAAUAAGAGGUUAGCUGGGAGCUGGAAACUGCAUUCAGUUUCCAG